CGGGGGGCAGCAGUGAGGAAUAUUGGUCAAUGGGCGCGAGCCUGAACCAGCCAUCCCGCGUGCAGGAAGAAUGCCCUAUGGGUUGUAAACUGCUUUUUCGCAUGAAGAACACCCCUGACGUGUCGGGGGCUGACGGUAGUGCGUGAAUAAGCACCGGCUAACUCCGUGCCAGCAGCCGCGGUAAUACGGAGGGUGCAAGCGUUAUCCGGAUUUAUUGGGUUUAAAGGGUGCGUAGGCGGUAAUAUAAGUCAGUGGUGAAAUCCUGCAGCUCAACUGUAGAACAGCCAUUGAAACUGUAUUACUUGAGUAAUCUUGAGGUAGGCGGAAUGUGUAGUGUAGCGGUGAAAUGCUUAGAUAUUACACAGAACACCGAUUGCGAAGGCAGCUUACUAAGGAUUUACUGACGCUGAUGCACGAAAGCGUGGGGAUCAAACAGGAUUAGAUACCCGAGU
rnacentral:rRNA from 1 species